CGCCUCUGGAGAGCGGUGGAAUCGACCACCCGCCCACGGGGAAAGCCCGGCCCUGACAUGGGCCCGGUGAAUCUCUCAGGCGCCGGCGCGGACCGGCAGGGGACAGAGCG
rnacentral:ncRNA from 1 species